CCUGAUGAAAAUUUAUAUUAGGUCUAACCUGCUCAAUGAAUAUUUAAAUAGCCGCAGUAUUUUGACUGUGCGAAGGUAGCAUAAUCAUUUGUCUUUUAAUUGAAGGCUUGUAUGAAUGGUUGGAUGAGGGAAUUGCUUUCUUUAUAUUAAUUUGUUGAAUUUAAUUUUUAAGUUAAAAAGCUUAAAUUUUUAAAUGGGACGAGAAGACCCUAUAGAAUUUUAUUUAUAUUUAAUUUUUUUAAUCUUUGGUUAAUAUUUUAUUUUUAUUAAUGUUAAAUUUUGUUGGGGUGACAGUAAGAUUUUUUUAACUCUUAUAAAUUAUUUAUUUAUAAAUUUGUAUAUUAAAGAUCCUAUAUUAGGGAUAUUUAGAUUAAAUUACCUUAGGGAUAACAGCGUUAUUUCUCUGGAGAGUUCUUAUCGAUAGAGGAGUUUGCGACCUCGAUGUUGGAUUAAAAUUAGAUUUAAGUGCAGAAGCUUAAUUAUCUAGGUCUGUUCGACCUUUAAAAUUUUACA
rnacentral:rRNA from 1 species